rnacentral:rRNA from 1 species
GGGUUAACGGCCCACCCAAGCCGAGGACGGGUAGCCGGCGUGAGAGCGCGGCGGGCCAGAGGGGGACUGAAACACGGCCCCCACUCCUACGGGAGGCAGCAGCAGGGGACCUUGGGCAAUGGGCGAAAGCCUGACCCAGCGACGCCGCGUGGGGGAAGAAGGCCUUCGGGUUGUAAACCCCUUUUGCCGGGGACGAGGGGGGACGGUACCCGGCGAAUAAGCCCCGGCCAACUACGUGCCAGCAGCCGCGGUAAGACGUAGGGGGCGAGCGUUACCCGGAAUUACUGGGCGUAAAGGGCGUGUAGGCGGCCGGGUGGGCCCUGGGUGAAAGCCACCGGCUCAACCGGUGGAGGGCUCAGGGGACUACCCGGCUAGGGGGCGGGAGAGGGAGGUGGAAUUCCCGGUGUAGCGGUGAAAUGCGUAGAGAUCGGGAGGAACACCGGUGGCGAAGGCGGCCUCCUGGCCCGACCCUGACGCUGAGGCGCGAAAGCGUGGGGAGCAAAGGGGAUUAGAUACCCCUGUAGUCCACGCCCUAAACGAUGCGGGCUAGGUAUGUGGGGGGUAAAAACCCCUGUCGUGCCGAAGCUAACGUCGUUAAGCGUCCCGCCUGGGGAGUACGGCCGCAAGGCUAAAACUCAAAGGAAUUGACGGGGGCCCGCACAAGCGGUGGAGCGUGUGGUUUAAUUCGAUGCUAAGCGAAGAACCUUACCAGGGUUUGACAUGUGGGUGGUAGGGACCCGAAAGGGCGACGACUCUUCUUCGGAAGGGAGCCUACACAGGUGCUGCAUGGCUGUCGUCAGCUCGUGCCGUGAGGUGUUGGGUUAAGUCCGCAACGAGCGCAACCCCUGCCGCCAGUUGCUCUCUCUGGCGGGACUGCCCCCCAAAAGGGGGAGGAAGGUGGGGAUGACGUCAAGUCCGCAUGGCCCUGAUGCCCGGGGCGACACACACGCUACAAUGGGCGGGACAAAGGGGAGCGAAGGGGCGACCCGGAGCGAAUCCCGGCAAACCCGCCCCCAGUGGGGAUCGGAGGCUGAAACCCGCCUCCGUGAACGCGGAAUCGCUAGUAACCGCCGGACAGCCGACGGCGGUGAAUACGUUCCCGGGCCUUGUACACACCGCCCGUCACGUCAUGGGAGCCGGCAACACCUGAAGCCGUUGGGUCUACACCGGCAUACCCCACGGG